AACGAACGCUGGCGGCGUGCCUAACACAUGCAAGUCGAGCGCGAAAGUUCCUUCGGGAGCGAGUAGAGCGGCGGACGGGUGAGUAAUACAUAGGUAAUCUACCUUCGAGCUUGGGAUAACCCCGCGAAAGUGGGGCUAAUACCGGAUAAGACCACGUAAUUAUUUUACGGGGUAAAAGGUGGCUUAUUUUUUAAAUGAGCUAUCACUUGAGGAUGAGCCUGUGGCCUAUCAGCUAGUUGGCGGGGUAAGAGCCCACCAAGGCUAUGACGGGUAGCGGGUCUGAGAGGAAGACCAGCCACACUGGGACUGAGACACGGCCCAGACUCCUACGGGAGGCAGCAGUGGGGAAUAUUGGGCAAGGGGCGAAAGCCUGACCCAGCGACGCCGCGUGGGCGAUGAAGGCCUUCGGGUUGUAAAGCCCUGUCAUGCGGAAAGAACGACCCUGAGACGCAUACUCUCAGGGAGUGACGGUACCGCAGGAGGAAGCACCGGCUAACUCCGUGCCAGCCGCCGCCGUAA
rnacentral:rRNA from 1 species